ACGAACGCUGGCGGCGUGCUUAACACAUGCAAGUCGAGCGGUAAGGCCCUUUGGGGUACACGAGCGGCGAACGGGUGAGUAACACGUGAGUAAUCUGCCUUUGGCUUGGGAAUAACUUCGGGAAAUCGGGGCUAAUGCCUGAUGUUUAUUGUCUGCUGCAUGGUGGGUGGUGGAAAGAUUUUUUGGCCAGGGAUGAGCUCGCGGUCUAUCAGCUUGUUGGUGGGGUAAUGGCUACCAAGGCUUUGACGGGUAGCCGGCCUGAGAGGGUGUUCGGCCACACUGGGACUGAGACACGGCCCAGACUCCUACGGGAGGCAGCAGGUGGGGAAUAUUGCGCAAUGGGCGUAAGCCUGACGCAGCGACGCCGCGGUGGGGAUG
rnacentral:rRNA from 1 species